UACGAAGGGGGCUAGCGUUGUUCGGAAUUACUGGGCGUAAAGCGCGCGCAGGCGGUCCUUUAAGUCAGGGGUGAAAGCCCAGAGCUCAACUCUGGAACUGCCUUUGAAACUAGAGGACUUGGGUACGGGAGAGGUGAGUGGAAUUCCGAGUGUAGAGGUGAAAUUCGUAGAUAUUCGCAAGAACACCAGUGGCGAAGGCGGCUCACUGGCCCGGUACUGACGCUGAGGUGCGAAAGCGUGGGGGAGCAAACAGG
rnacentral:rRNA from 1 species